rnacentral:rRNA from 1 species
GAUGAACGCUGGCGGCGUGCCUAAUACAUGCAAGUCGAGCGAACAGACGAGGAGCUUGCUCCUCUGACGUUAGCGGCGGACGGGUGAGUAACACGUGGAUAACCUACCUAUAAGACUGGGAUAACUUCGGGAAACCGGAGCUAAUACCGGAUAAUAUAUUGAACCGCAUGGUUCAAUAGUGAAAGACGGUUUUGCUGUCACUUAUAGAUGGAUCCGCGCCGCAUUAGCUAGUUGGUAAGGUAACGGCUUACCAAGGCAACGAUGCGUAGCCGACCUGAGAGGGUGAGCGGCCACACUGGAACUGAGACACGGUCCAGACGCCUACGGGAGGCAGCAGUAGGGAAUCUUCCGCAAUGGGCGAAAGCCUGACGGAGCAACGCCGCGUGAGUGAUGAAGGUCUUCGGAUCGUAAAACUCUGUUAGUAGGGAAGAACAAAUGUGUAAGUAACUAUGCACGUCUUGACGGUACCUAAUCAGAAAGCCACGGCUAACUACGUG